UACGUAGGGGGCAAGCGUUGUCCGGAAUCAUUGGGCGUAAAGAGCGCGUAGGCGGCCCUGUAAGUCCGCUGUGAAAGUCAAGGGCUCAACCCUUGGAUGCCGGUGGAUACUGCAGGGCUAGAGUCCGGAAGAGGCGAGUGGAAUUCCUGGUGUAGCGGUGAAAUGCGCAGAUAUCAGGAGGAACACCGAUGGCGAAGGCAGCUCGCUGGCCCGGUACUGACGCUGAGGCGCGAAAGCGUGGGGAGCAAACAGG
rnacentral:rRNA from 1 species